GACGUAGGGCGCGAGCGUUGUCCGGAUUUAUUGGGCGUAAAGAGCUCGUAGGUGGUUUGUCGCGUUGUUCGUGAAAACUCACAGCUCAACUGUGGGCGUGCGGGCGAUACGGGCAGACUAGAGUGCGGUAGGGGGAGACUGGAAUUCCUGGUGUAGCGGUGAAAUGCGCAGAUAUCAGGAGGAACACCGGUGGCGAAGGCGGCAUCCUGGACCGACAUUGACGCGUGAGGCGCGGAAAAGCCAGGGGAGCAAACGGG
rnacentral:rRNA from 1 species